rnacentral:rRNA from 1 species
UACGGAGGGUGCAAGCGUUGUCCGGAUUUAUUGGGUUUAAAGGGUGCGUAGGCGGCUUUUUAAGUCAGUGGUGAAAGAUAACAGCUCAACUGUUGCAGUGCCAUUGAUACUGAAGAGCUUGAGUACAGAUGAGGUAGGCGGAAUUUAUGGUGUAGCGGUGAAAUGCAUAGAUACCAUAAGGAACACCUAUUGCGAAGGCAGCUUACUAAGCUGUAACUGACGCUGAGGCACGAAAGUGUGGGGAUCAAACAGG